GGAAUUUUGGACAAUGGGGGCAACCCUGAUCCAGCAAUGCCGCGUGUGUGAAGAAGGCCUUCGGGUUGUAAAGCACUUUUGGCGGGAACGAAACGGUGGGGGCUAAUAUCCUCUGCUUAUGACGGUACCCGCAGAAUAAGCACCGGCUAACUACGUGCCAGCAGCCGCGGUAAUACGUAGGGUGCAAGCGUUAAUCGGAAUUACUGGGCGUAAAGCGUGCGCAGGCGGUUGUGCAAGACAGAUGUGAAAUCCCUGGGCUCAACCUAGGAAUUGCAUUUGUGACUGCACGGCUAGAGUGUGUCAGAGGGGGGUAGAAUUCCACGUGUAGCAGUGAAAUGCGUAGAUAUGUGGAGGAAUACCGAUGGCGAAGGCAGCCCCCUGGGAUAACACUGACGCUCAUGCACGAAAGCGUGGGGAGCAAACAGGAUUAGAUACCCUGGUAGUCCACGCCCUAAACGAUGUCUACUAGUUGUCGGGUCUUAAUUGACUUGGUAACGCAGCUAACGCGUGAAGUAGACCGCCUGGGGAGUACGGUCGCAAGAUUAAAACUCAAAGGAAUUGACGG
rnacentral:rRNA from 1 species